GCUCGUAUGGCGCAGUGGUAGCGCAGCAGAUUGCAAAUCUGUUGGUCCUUAGUUCGAU
rnacentral:tRNA from 1 species